AUCCUAUGGUAUGGACACUUUCGCAACAAAUUCUUGAAUCGAUUCCAGGCUUCAUCGAAAUUUUUCAAGUCGCCUUGGUGAAAAACAGAGAUGUCGUGCUUGAGCUU
rnacentral:snoRNA from 1 species